rnacentral:ribozyme from 1 species
CUCUCUUCUUUUUUUUUUUUCUCAUGUUUAAUCACAAAAAGCACUACGCGCAUGUCAUCUGACGUCAUCCACAAUGA